GAAUAAAGGAUAAACCUUUUUAGUUCAAUUAUGAAACUUUUUCAAUAAUUCAUGAAUAUUUUUUUAAACAAAAUUUUAAUAGUCUUCCUCCAUAUUUUUUAACUUUUCUAAAAGUUCGGGAGUACUUUCAACCCAAAUCACUUAAAAUAAUUUGAUCCUGAGUGUAUAACAAUAUUCUUAAAUAAAUAAGAACAAUAAUAAAAUCUAUAGAUGGCAGCUCUUACCAACGAUUUCAUUUAUCCUAAGAGAACUAAAUCUUAGAAGGAAAAUUUGUGCCGAUCAUCUCCGACAGAUGAAUUUUAGUCCAGUUUUCAAAUUCCAAAGACAUGAUCGAGCCGAUGUGGUUGAUAAGGCCGGAAAACACUCAGAUGUUGGAAACCAUAUCCUGAGAGAAUCCGAUGAGGUCUUAUUUUACUGUACGAUUAUUUCUGAUUUUCUUAAAUUAGAGCAAAAUAAGUGAUGUUUAGUUUUCUUUUUCUUUCUUUCCUUUUUUUUUUUUUUUUUUUAUCUUAAAUUAUUCCGGCGGUGGGAGAAGACAUGGUUAUUGGUUGAUGGGGAAAUUGGGAGAAGAGAAGGUUUGUUAUGGGAGAAAGUGAAGUUUGUAUGGAGAUCGAUCGACUAAAGCCACUUCGGAGGAAAAUCUAGAGAAGUGGAGUUUGGGGGAGAUGGAUCCAGCCAUGGGAGAAAUACGUAGUUGAAUAAUGAUUUUGGUUGUUGGUGGUUUUGUUUUUUGUUUUGUAGGGUUAAGGUGUGUGAGUUGCGAGACAUAUUGGCGCAGUAGUGGUUGUGAUUCUGCGAAGGUUCAUGACGGCUUUCUUCUUACAAUGCCCAAAACUAAUCGAAAGGUACGUGGAAAGAAGUUAGGCAUGAAUCUGGACUCCAUUUUCUUAAACUAUGUUUUUGUUCAAAUUCAUAUAUCGAUGUUUCUUUUUUGUUUCUUAAGAAAAAAAGUUCCAUUUAUAGCACAUUUUUUCUUUUCCCAUUCUCAAUGAUUUAUGUGUCUAAAACAUGAAAUUUGAAAUGAACCCCAAACUUUCAAUUUCAUCCA